rnacentral:misc_RNA from 1 species
GAUGAAGAACGUAGCGAAAUGCGAUAAGUAGUGUGAAUUGCAGAAUUCAGUGAAUCAUCGAAUCUUUGAACGCACAUUGCGCCCUUUGGUAUUCCAAAGGGCAUGCCUGUUCGAGCGUCAUUUGUACCCUCAAGCUUUGCUUGGUGUUGGACGUCUUGUCUCUAGCUUUGCUGGAGACUCGCCUUAAAGUAAUUGGCAGCCGGCCUACUGGUUUCGGAGCGCAGCACAAGUCGCACUCUCUAUCAGCAAAGGUCUAGCAUCCAUUAAGCCUUUUUUUCAACUUUUGACCUCGGAUCAGGUAGGGAUACCCGCUGAACUUAAGCAUAUCAAUAAGCGGAGGA